CACUUCUUCCUGUUGAAACCAUGUCUUAUUUUUGAUUUUGUGACACCACGCUAUCUUGUUUUUUCUCCUACGUGUCUGUCUACUCCUUUUCAAUCUCCUUUGUAAAGUGCUCUCUGUUCUCUAGCUAAGCUCUAAUGUUGGAGUUUAGUGCUCAGUCCCUUCUCCUCAUUCUCCCUCCCUCCAUGACCUCAUCUAUUUCCAAAGCUUUAGUUCCCACCUAUAUACCAAUCAUUUCCAACAUCUCUCAACACCUCUCGAGCUCCAGACUUGUACAUCCAACUGCCUUCUGCUGUGUAUUUUCUGUUUGUCCUUCUGGAUCGACUCUCAACUCCUGUCGACCCUCCUCUCUGCCCUGAUACUUUGACCUUUGUGGGCUACAUCAGAAGACUCUCUGACUUCCAGCUGGGUUUGGCCAAUAGAAGCUUCCAGCAGAAGACUGAAAAGCACGAGGAGAGUGAGGUUCCUUCUGAAAAACAUCAAGUGGCUAAAAGAGAAAUGACCUGAGAAAGAGAGAAAAUGUAUCUUUGCUGGGAUUACAAUAAUUCAUACUUUCGGGAAAAGCAUGAAACCCAUGAGACAGAAUCGUGCCUCUUCAGUGAAGCAUGUAGGAAGGAGCAUGAACUCAAAGGAAACAGAUCACAGGGGGAGAAGUGAAAGGCUGAACUCGAGGCGAGGAAGACCAUUCCCAGCACUGAGCAGAGCAGCUCAUCAGAGGAAAACACCGGAAACUUGCCUGGGCGAUGCAGCCCCCACUGCAGAGGACACAUUCCUUCCACAUGAACAACAGCAACAUCGUGCUAGGGUAAAGGGGAGGAGAAAACAAGGCCAGAAUUCAUUCCAGAGAAACUUUCUCCAGUGAGUGGCAUAUUUCCUCCACGGCAAGUUGAAGAAACCAAGGCAUAGACAAAGCCAAUGAUUUUUCCAAGACCACAUAGCUGGAAGUGGGAUUUACAAUCGCCAGGUUCACGUGACUUCAAAGUGCCCUCUCAGUUCACAGGACUUCAGACAGAGAGGAACUCUACUUGGAGAUCUGCGCUUAAAGACUACACCUAAGGAGAUUCGCCUGCACUGGGACCUGAUUUAAAGGAUGACGUCCUGGACUCCAGAGCUGAUGCUGUAUAGGCUUGAGACUUUUGGGAGGUAUUGAGAAGGAUGACAGUAUUUUGCAAGUGGGAGGAAUAUGAUGGUUAAAGUAUGUCCACAAAGUAUUUAACAUUAUUUUCAAAAAGUAGAGUGUAAUUCCCCUCCCCUUGAGAGUGGGCUGGACUUAGUGACUCACUUCUAAUGGAUAGAAUUGAGCAGAAGUGACAGUGUGUGACUUCAGAGGCCAGGUCAUAAAAGUCACUGUGUCUUUCUGCUUGCUCUUCCUUGUGGAUGCUGAACUCUGGGGGGACGUUGUGAGCAGUCUUAUGGAGAGGCCCACAUGAAACCCAGGCCUUCUGCCAACAACCAUUUGAGUGAAUCCUUUGGCAAGUGGAUCCUCCAGCCCCAGUCAAGCCUUCAGAUGACUCCAGGCCCAGUCAGCAUCUUAACUGCAACCUCAUGAGAGAACCAGAAACCCAGUUCAGAACUACCCACCCAAGUCACUGCCAGAUUCCUAAUCCUCAGAAACUGACUGAGAAAAUAAAUGUUCGUUGUCUUAAGUUACUAAAUUUCAGGGUAAUCUGUUUGGUAGAGACAGAUAAUUAACACAUCGGUGGUGAAAAAUUACCUGAUAAUAUUUUUAUGUUUGGAUUAGAAAGAAAGUUUUAGAUAAAUCCAAGAAAAUUCUUUUCAUACUACAGUCAUGGAAACUUCGAGUCAUUUGCCAUGAUUCUUGCUCCUGUCCUUUCAGUAUGAGCCCAAAAGUUCCUGUUGUCUUUAUUAUUUAAUUUUCCCCCUACAUUUUCUCUGUUUGGUAGCUGUCAAGGAGCUACACACAUACAGAGAGAGAGAGAGCACAGAAACAUUGGAGAGAUAGAAACAAUAUUACACAAAGGUAGCCACAC
rnacentral:lncRNA from 1 species